UGCAGUGUGUUUGGACCGCGACGCGAUGCCAGUGUCUGUCUACUUCUUCAUGCCACCUGAGGACAGCUUCUCUCAACCAGUCUCCUUCACUGCUGCACCCUCUGAUACAGCAGGCACAGCCCCCUACACACACACACACACACACACACACACACACACACACACACACACACACACACUUAUUAUCUACACAUAGACACAUACCAACACACGCACACAGGAUCCCAUGAUUCCCACCAGUCCAAUCCUCGAAGACGACACACCUAAUAUGGGAUCUCCAUCUCCAGCCUCCAUACACCUCCACCAGCCCUAGCCCCAUUUCCCUACAGCAGGCCAUGUACCCCAUCCCCCAGCCCCAGUCCCCACACACCAAUAUAGACCUCUUUUCUUUUCCCAUAUCACACCUCCACCCAACCUAACAACUGUACACAGCAGGCCUCAUCCUAAAGUCCCAAUGCAAUACUUCCAACAGCCCAUUCCACUGAUUCCAGGCCUGUUCUGUAGGCCCAACAUCACGCCUCCACCGGAUCCAAUACCAGCAGGCUGUCUGCCCAGCUCUGUGCCUGAGAUCAGGGGGUGCCUCUCUAUAGACCAACUCUCUAUAGUAGUCUUUUCACUCCAGGGAUUUAGUUCAUACAGUGCUACUGUAGGUCAGAACACUCCAGGGGUUUAGUUCAUACAGUACUACUGUAGGUCAGAACACUCCAGGGGUUUAGUUUAUACAGUACUACUGUAGGUCAGAACACUCCAGGGGUUUAGUUCAUACAGUACUACUGUAGGUCAGAACACUCCAGGGGUUUAGUUCAUACAGUACUACAGUAGGUCAGAACACUUCAGGGGUUUAGUUCAUACAGUACUACUGUAGGUCAGAACACUCCAGGGGUUUAGUUCAUACAGUGCUACUGUAGGUCAGAACACUCCAGGGGUUUAGUUCAUACAGUACUACUGUAGGUCAGAACACUCCAGGCGUUUAGUUCAUACAGUACUACUGUAGGUCAGAACACUCCAGGGGUUUAGUUUAUACAGUACUACUGUAGGUCAGAACACUCCAGGGGUUUAGUUCAUACGGUGCUACUGUAGGUCAGAAAACUCCAGGGGUUUAGUUCAUACAGUACUACUGUAGGUCAGAACACUCCAGGGGUUUAGUUCAUACAGUGCUACUAUAGUUCAGAACACUCCAGGGGUUUAGUUCAUACAGUACUACUGUAGGCCAGAACACUCCAAGGGUUUAGUUCAUACAGUGCUACUAUAGUUCAGAACACUCCAGGGGUUUUGUUCAUACAGUACUACUGUAGGUCAGGGGUUUAGUUCAUACAGUGCUACUGUAGGUCAGAACACUCCAGGGGUUUAGUUCAUACAGUACUACUGUAGGUCAGAACACUCCAGGGGUUUAGUUCAUACAGUGCUACUGUAGGUCAGAACACUCCAGGGGUUUAGUUCAUACAGUACUACUGUAGGUCAGAACACUCCAGGGGUUUAGUUCAUACAGUACUACUGUAGGUCAGAACACUCCAGGGGUUUAGUUCAUACAGUGCUACUGUAGGUCAGAACACUCCAGGGUUUUAGUUCAUACAGUGCUACUGUAGGUCAGAACACUCCAGGGGUUUAGUUCAUACAGUACUACUGUAGGUCAGAACACUCCAGGGGUUUAGUUCAUACAGUACUACUGUUGGUCAGAACACUCCAGGGGUUUAGUUCAUACAGUACUACUGUAGGUCAGAACACUCAAGGGUUUUAGUUCAUACAGUGCUACUGUAGGUCGGAACACUCCAGGGGUUUAGUUCAUACAGUGCUACUAUAGUUCAGAACACUCCAGGGGUUUAGUUCAUACAGUACUACUGUAGGUCAGGGGUUUAGUUCAUACAGUGCUACUAUAGUUCAGAACACUCCAGGGGUUUAGUUCAUACAGUACUACUGUAGGUCAGGGGUUUAGUUCAGACAUUACUACUGUAGGUCAGAACACUCCAGGGGUUUAGUUCAUACAGUGCUACUAUAGUUCAGAACACUCCAGGGGUUUAGUUCAUACAGUACUACUGUAGGUCAGGGGUUUAGUUCAGACAUUACUACUGUAGGUCAGAACACUCCAGGGGUUUAGUUCAUACAGUACUACUGUAGGUCAGGGGUUUAGUUCAGACAGUACUACUGUAGGUCAGAACACUCCAGGGGUUUAGUUCAGACAGUACUACUGUAGGUCAGAACACUCCAGGGGUUUAGUUCAUACAGUACUACUGUAGGUCAGAACACCCCAGGGGUUUAGUUCAUACAGUACUACUGUAGGUCAGAACACUCCAGGGGUAUAGUUCAUACAGUGCUACUGUAGGUCAGAACACUCCAGGGGUUUAGUUCAUACAGUACUACUGUUGGUCAGAACACUCCAGGGGUUUAGUUCAUACAGUACUACUGUAGGUCAGAACACUCCAGGGGUUUAGUUCAUACAGUGCUACUGUAGGUCAGAACACUCCAGGGGUUUAGUUCAUACAGUACUACUGUUGGUCAGAACACUCCAGGGGUUUAGUUCAUACAGUACUACUGUAGGUCAGAACACUCAAGGGUUUUAGUUCAUACAGUGCUACUGUAGGUCGGAACACUCCAGGGGUUUAGUUCAUACAGUGCUACUAUAGUUCAGAACACUCCAGGGGUUUAGUUCAUACAGUACUACUGUAGGUCAGGGGUUUAGUUCAUACAGUACUACUGUAGGUCAGAACACUCCAGGGGUUUAGUUCAUACAGUGCUACUGUAGGUCAGAA